rnacentral:rRNA from 1 species
AGCGAACGCUGGCGGCAGGCUUAACACAUGCAAGUCGAACGGGCACUUCGGUGUCAGUGGCAGACGGGUGAGUAACACGUGGGAACGUACCUUUUGGUUCGGAACAACUGAGGGAAACUUCAGCUAAUACCGGAUAAGCCCUUACGGGGAAAGAUUUAUCGCCGAAAGAUCGGCCCGCGUCUGAUUAGCUAGUUGGUAGGGUAAUGGCCUACCAAGGCGACGAUCAGUAGCCGGUCUGAGAGGAUGAUCAGCCACAUUGGGACUGAGACACGGCCCAAACUCCUACGGGAGGCAGCAGUGGGGAAUAUUGGACAAUGGGGGCAACCCUGAUCCAGCCAUGCCGCGUGAGUGAUGAAGGCCCUAGGGUUGUAAAGCUCUUUUGUGCGGGAAGAUAAUGACGGUACCGCAAGAAUAAGCCCCGGCUAACUUCGUGCCAGCAGCCGCCGUAA